rnacentral:rRNA from 1 species
CCCUUAGAUGUUCUGGGCCGCACGCGCGCUACACUGAUGCAUUCAACGAGUCUAAAACCUGCUCUAAUAGGGGUGGGUAAUCUUUUGAAUGUGCAUCGUGAUUGGGAUAGAUGAUUGCAAUUUUUCAUCUUCAACGAGGAAUGCCUAGUAAACGCAAGUCAUCAGCUUGCAUUGAUUACGUCCCUGCCCUUUGUACACACCGCCCGUCGCUCCUACCGAUUGAAUGAUCCGAUGAAUAUCAUGGAUUGAGGAUGCAAGUAGGUUCGCCUAUCUUCAUCUUCGAGAAGUGAAGUAAAUCUUAUCAUUUAGAGGAAGGAGAAGUCGUAACA